AAUGAACGCUAGCGGCAUGCUUUAUACAUGCAAGUCGAACGAGUGGCGGACGGGUGAGUAAUAUAUCUGAACUUGCUCAGUAGCGGGGGAUAACUACUCGAAAGAGUGGCUAAUACCGCAUACUAUUGGAGCGGCCGAUAUCGGAUUAGCUAGUUGGUGGGGUAAAGGCUCACCAAGGCAACGAUCCGUAGCUGGUCUGAGAGGGUGACCCGCCACACUGGGACUGAGACACGGCCCAGACUCCUACGGGAGGCAGCAGUAGGGAAUUUUCGGCAAUGGGGGAAAGCCUGACCGAGCCAACCCGCGUGUGUGAGAAGGCUUUCGGGUUGUAAAAUACUUUUGUCAGAGAAGCGGUAUCUACAGAGUAAGCACCGGCUAACUACGUGCCAGCAGCCGCGGUAAUUC
rnacentral:rRNA from 1 species